rnacentral:rRNA from 1 species
AGCAGUCGCCGCGGGAAUACGUAGGUGGCAAGCGUUGUCCGGAAUUAUUGGGCGUAAAGGGCUCGCAGGCGGUUUCUUAAGUCGGAUGUGAAAGCCCCCGGCUCAACCGGGGAGGGUCAUUGGAAACUGGGAAACUUGAGUGCAGAAGAGGAGAGUGGAAUUCCACGUGUAGCGGUGAAAUGCGUAGAGAUGUGGAGGAACACCAGUGGCGAAGGCGACUCUCUGGUCUGUAACUGACGCUGAGGAGCGAAAGCGUGGGGAGCGAACAGGAUUAGAUACCCGAGUAGUCCCUGUCUCUUAUAC